rnacentral:tRNA from 1 species
CCCCUAGUGGUCUAGUUGUUAGGACAUGGCACUUUGGCUGCCAUGGCCCAGGUUCAAUCUCUGGUCUGGGAA